AAUGAAUUACCUAAUAAAAAGGGUUGUCUUGAUGGGACAAAUUAUGUAAAUUUAUUUUACAUUCAUU
rnacentral:tRNA from 1 species